rnacentral:rRNA from 1 species
UACAGAGGGUGCGAGCGUUGUUCGGAAUUACUGGGCGUAAAGGGCUCGUAGGCGGCCAACUAAGUCAUACGUGAAAUCCCUCAGCUUAACUGGGGAACUGCGUGUGAUACUGGAUGGCUUGGAUUUGGGAGAGGGAUGCGGAAUUCCAGGUGUAGCGGUGAAAUGCGUAGAUAUCUGGAGGAACACCGGUGGCGAAGGCGGCAUCCUGGACCAAUAUUGACGCUGAGGAGCGAAAGCCAGGGGAGCAAACGGG